rnacentral:rRNA from 1 species
AACGAACGCUGGCGGCAGGCCUCAAACAUGCAAGUCUAGGGGGUGCAGCAAUGCAUCACCGGCGGACGGGUGCGUAACGCGUGGGAAUGUACCUAUUGGUUCGGAACAACUGAGGGAAACUUCAGCUAAUACCGGAUGAGCCCGAAAGGGGAAAGAUUUCUCGCCAAUAGAUCAGCCCGCGUCCGAUUAGCUCGUUGGUGGGGUAAUGGCCUACCAAGGCAACGAUCGGUAGCUGUUCUGAGAGGAAGAUCAGCCACACUGGGACUGAGACACGGCCCAGACUCCUACGGGAGGCAGCAGUUGGGAAUCUUGGACAAUGGGGGAAACCCUGAUCCAGCCAUGCCGCGUGAGUGAUGAAGGCCUUCGGGUUGUAAAACUCUUUCGACGGGGACGAUAAAACGGUA